rnacentral:rRNA from 1 species
AUAACUGUGGCAAUUCUAGAGCUAAUACAUGCAAACGAAGUUCUGACCGGCAACGGGAGGAAUGCUUUUAUUAGAUCAAAAACCAAUCGGCGGCGGGGCGACCCGUCCGCCGCUCUCCGAGAUGACUCUAGAUAACUUUGAGCUGAUCGCACGGUCUAGUACCGGCGACGCAUCUUUCAAAUGUCUGCCUUAUCAACUGUCGAUGGUAGUUUAUGCGACUACCAUGGUUGUCACGGGUAACGGGGAAUCAGGGUUCGAUUCCGGAGAGGGAGCCUGAGAAACGGCUACCACAUCCACGGAAGGCAGCAGGCGCGCAAAUUACCCACUCCCGGCACGGGGAGGUAGUGACGAAAAAUAACGAUACGGGACUCGUCCGAGGCCUCGUGAUCGGAAUGAUUACACUUUAAAUCCUUUAAUGAGGAUCCAUUGGAGGGCAAGUCUGGUGCCAGCAGCCGCGGUAAUUCCAGCUCCAAUAGCAUAUACUAAAGUUGUUGCGGUUAAAAAGCUCGUAGUUGAAAUUGUGUCCUGCGGUGUCGGUCUACCGACUGCGGUACGACAGGCACGUCUGCGGGGCUUCUCGCCGGUGCGUCCACCGCCGGUGCGUGUCGCGACCUUCCUGACGGUCGGCCGCGCGCGUCGAGGCGGGCCGUCGCGGCUGUUUACUUUGAACAAAUUAGAGUGCUCAAAGCGGGCUAACACUUGCCUGAAUAUUGUACGCAUGGAAUAAUAGAAUAGGACCUCGGUUCUGUUUUGUUGGCUUUCUGAUACCAGAGGUAAU